GAUGAACGCUGGCGGUGUGCCUAACACAUGCAAGUCGAACGGAAAGACCAGCAGCUCUUUCUCUUACGGGUGGCGUCGGGCGGGCGAGUGAGGAGUAAAUCGGAAUCGACUUUUUCGUGGGUUAUAUCGGAGAACAGGAAACACUAACACAUCAUACAUCGUACUGCUGGGUGCAGGAGGUCUUGGGACCUUUCUCGCUAGUGUUAGACGAUGUCGGAUUAGCUAGUUGGCUUGGUAACGGCGCACCAAGGCGACGAUGCGUAGCCGGGCUGAGAGGAUGAUCGGCCACACUGGAACUGAGACACGGUCCAGACUCCUACGGGAGGCAGCAGUAGGGAAUAUUGCGCAAUGGGCGAAAGCCUGACCCAGCAACACCGCGUGAGUGAAGAAGGUCUUCGGGUUGUAAAGCUCUGUUGUUGGGAAAGAAAAGAAGCAGAUGUAGCUCCGCACGUUCUGACGGUACCCAAAGAAUAAGCACCGGCUAACUACGUG
rnacentral:rRNA from 1 species